UCCCCCUUAGUUCAGUUGGUAGAACACCGGACUGUUAAUCCGUAUGUCGCUGGUUCGAGUCCAGCAGGGGGAGCCA
rnacentral:tRNA from 1 species